UGCGCACAGGAUUCACGCCCAGAGCACUUUCUCGCAGCAAUGAUCAUUUUUAGCCGCGAGAACGAAUUAGCCCUUCCCCUGCCAAGCUAUUUGCAUCGCACAGAGGUCAUGGAGGAGCAGCAAAGCGAUGAUUUGGGGCCUCUGUGAAUCCACCACGGAAAUAUUCGCAGGAGAAUUCCCUGUGCUCCCAUGUGGCACUGCCUCCUCCUGGCUUCCAAACCGAGCUGCACCACGGUGGAUCCAUCAUUCAUGGAAAAUCCCUCUCCCUUUGGGAUACACCAAC
rnacentral:lncRNA from 12 species